rnacentral:ribozyme from 13 species
AAGGAAAGGAAAAAGAAAAAGAAGGAGAAGAAGAAGAAGAAGAAGAAGAAGAUGAAUACAAAAGGGUGUUAAAUUUUCCUGUUUCUUUUUUG